rnacentral:tRNA from 1 species
GCCCCUGUGACGCAAUUGGCAGACGUGUCUGGCUUAAACCCAGAAUCUUUGCGAGUUCGAAUCUCGCUGGGGGCA